rnacentral:lncRNA from 1 species
UCCCCUAGAGUGUGAUAGUGCUGGUCCUCAUACGAGGUGUGAAUAGUGUCGGUCCCCAUAAGGUGUGAAUAGUGCUGGUCCCCAUAGAGGUGUGAAUAGUGCUGGUCCCCAUAGAGGUGUGAAUAGUGCUGGUCCCCAUAGAGGUGUGAAUAGGUGGGUCAGUGAUGUGCGGCCCCAUAGAGGUGUGAAUCGUGCUGGUCCCCCAUAGAGGUUGUGAAUAGUGCUGGUCCCCUAAGAGGUGUGAAUAGUGCUGGUCCCUAGAGUUGUGAAUAGUGCUGGUCCCCAUAGAGGUUGAACAGUGCUGGUCCCAUGAGGGUGAAAGCGCUCCUCGAGGUGCAUAACGGUCCCCAUAGAG